GACGAACGCUGGCGGCGUGCCUAAUACAUGCAAGUAGAACGCUGAAGCGAGGAGCUUGCUCUUCUUGGAUGAGUUGCGAACGGGUGAGUAACGCGUAGGUAACCUGCCUUGUAGCGGGGGAUAACUAUUGGAAACGAUAGCUAAUACCGCAUAACAAUGGAUGACACAUGUCAUUUAUUUGAAAGGGGCAAUUGCUCCACUACAUGAUGGACCUGCGUUGUAUUAGCUAGUAGGUGAGGUAAUGGCUCACCUAGGCGACGAUACAUAGCCGACCUGAGAGGGUGAUCGGCCACACUGGGACUGAGACACGGCCCAGACUCCUACGGGAGGCAGCAGUAGGGAAUCUUCGGCAAUGGGGGCAACCCUGACCGAGCAACGCCGCGUGAGUGAAGAAGGUUUUCGGAUCGUAAAGCUCUGUUGUAAGUCAAGAACGGGUGUGAGAGUGGAAAGUUCACACUGUGACGGUAGCUUACCAGAAAGGGACGGCUAACUACGUG
rnacentral:rRNA from 1 species